rnacentral:rRNA from 1 species
AACCUUUACAAUGCGCGCAAGCGUGAUAAGGGGAUCCUGAGUGCUCAUGCAUUGCAUGGGCUUUUGCCAACGGCAAAUACGUUGGCGAAUAAGUGGUGGACAAGACUGGUGCCAGCCGCCGCGGUAACCCCAGCGCCACUAGUGGGGGUCGCAUUUACUAGGCCUAAAGCGUCCGUAGCCGGGUUGCUAAAUCUUUUGUGAAAUCGUUGAGCUCAACUUAACGACGUGCAGAAGACACUGGCAACCUAGGGACUGGGAGGCGUCAGAAGUAUGCUCGGGGGAGCAGUAAAAUGCAGUAAUCCUGAGUAGACUACCUGUGGCGAAGGCGUCUGACGAGAACAGCUCCGACGGUGAGGGACGAAAGCUAGGGGAGCGAUGCGG